rnacentral:siRNA from 1 species
UGAAUAACUUAUGGCACAACUACG